UAGUCGUAGACUGAACAUUAGGUUGCUACGCUCAGUGAUGUCAACUAUCCUAUGGUACUUACCUUAGUCGUAGACUGAACAUUAGGUUCCUACGCACAGUGAUGUCAACUAUCCUAGAGCGUCAUAUGUUACGUUUCAUUUGGUGUUUCUUUCUUCGUUUUAGGGGGAAACACAUCUAAAGUUUGAAUUUGUAGUUAAACUAUCCAAUUAGUAUAUUAAUGUUUUUCAUUGACCUCUUGAUCCACAUAACCUUUUCAAUGCAAGUUGACAAGUGUCAUCUAGAUUAGAAAAAUAAUUCUCCCGUUUCGUCUAUAGCAGAUAGUCAGAGAGAUACUUUCCCAUCUCUACCUACCUAUGAUUAACAUGAGGGACACUGAACUACUUCACAAGGUCACGCGGUUCUUUAGAUAUUCCUAAGUUGCAUGGACACUUCACUUUCGAUGCCGCACCCAUGUCGGAUUCUCCAAAAAUACACUACUUUUAGCUAAUCUGACACACACACGCUGACAUUUCAAAAGUACAAUACUUUUAGCUAAUUCGACACGCACCCAGUGACAUUUCUGAAGAGUCCGAGCAACAUAAAGAUAUUCUAAGGAUCAUCCAUCUAUUUUUUUUGUAGGUUGAGAAAAUAGUUUAUUGGACUCUUUACUUUCUUUUUUUUCUACAAGUGUUUGAACAUUGAAGACUUGCUAUAACAUAAGAAAGACCAAGCAAACAUCAGUUCUGAAGUUUGCUUCAAGUAAUCAUUCAGAAUAUGUACUAAUCGCAUAUUCUCGAGCUGUUUGAACUAUGUAUGUUAUUAUAGUUUUGUAGUAGCUUGAACCAUCACCUUCCCCUUUAUGCUCUCCUGUGUUGGUACGUGGAUUCUCGAGGGCCAUAGCUCCCCGUUCUACCCAAUCUCCUUCUGAUCAAGGCCAGAAAACACUGAAAAAACUUUGACCACGGGUUGCAGUGUCUGUUUUUCAUUUUUUUUGGUCUAGUACAGGGAGCCAUAGGUUCAUAGUCUAGGGAAGAAUACUGCCAUUUAGAGUUGUCAAUACGGGUUGGCCCAGCCCAUACGGACUUUGAGUUUAACGGGUCAGACCGGGCUGGCCCAUUUAAAUGAUUGGCCAAAAAACACCAAGCCCACGCUAUUACCCUGUAGGCUGCGGGCCUCACGGGUCAGCCCACUUUUUAAAAAAUAAUAUUUUAUAAUUUAAUUUUACACCGUUAAUAAACAUAAAUAUUUAUCAAACAAUGACAUAUAGUAUUAAUGUUUGUUAAUAAAAAGGGAGUCAGAGCUCGAAUCACCAAAGUAGGAAGAAAACGAAGAUGUGGCACUACUCAAUCGGAAACAUCACGGUUGAAAGUCGAUGACGCUCUGAGGGAGUAGUGAAGAGGAGGCGGCUAGCUGAACUAAGGAAAUUAGGAAAGUGAAGAGUACAAUGUACUCUUUAUGUUUUAGUGGUAGAUAUUUAAUUAUUUUAUUAUUUAUUAGAUAGGAAAGUAUGAAACGUUCAAAUUUCUAUUUUCUUUGUUAAUGGAACCGGUCAAUGGUCAUCAUUGGACUUGAUUGUUUUUUAAUUCUUUUAUUAUUUUUCAGUAUUUUAUUUUAUUUUUAAAUUAUUUAUUAUUUGAUUAAUGGGCCGGCCCACGGGCUAGCCCAACCCACAUUCCUCAAGCCCUACGGGCCAUGGGUUUAUUCGGGCUGGGCUAAAAAGCGUUGUUCUUAAAUGGGCUGCAAAAAUUGAAGCACACCCCAUCAGGUCGGGCCGGGCUGACCCACCGGGCCUUGGCCCAUGUUGACGGCUCUACUGCCAUUAAAUGAUCUAAUAUGAUACUCCUUCCGUCCCAUUUUAUGAGUCGUCAUUUGACCGGAUACGGAGUUUAAGAAAUAAUGAUGACUUUGUGGUGUUAAAUAUGUCAUGGGGAAAAUUAAUACUAAAGAGUCGCCAAAAAAGGAAAGAGACAUUUUUUAAAUGGACUAAAAAGAAAAGUCGGACAAACAAAUUGAAAUCGGGGGAGUAAUUGAUUGUCGAUUGCACCUAACAGUUUGACCUAGUGGUGAAUGUUGUUUGUGCAAGCCUUGGACGGAGCUACCUGGUUGGAGGUAAUAGGUAUCCGGUGGAAAGAUCGAGUGUGGUAAUGACUGGAUUUUACCUGUAUAAGAUUGCCAGGGGUGGAAACCAUUUCCCAUCUAAAGCCGAGUAAUGGCGCAUUUCGCUAACCGCGGUUCCAGCUCCAGACCGUGUUUACUGAAAGAGAUAGAUUCUUAUCACGGAUUACUGUAUACGGCUACACUUGGUUUUAUUUUGUUUUUAGACUGAACAACAUUGUAUCAAUGAGUAGAGUUUGAGUUUGUCUUA